AUACGGAGGGUCCAAGCGUUAUCCGGAAUCAUUGGGUUUAAAGGGUUCGUAGGCGGGUCAAUAAGUCAGAGGUGAAAUCUUGCAGCUUAACUGUAAAAUUGCCUUUGAUACUGUUGACCUCGAAUUACUGUGAAGUGGUUAGAAUAUGUAGUGUAGCGGUGAAAUGCUUAGAGAUUACGUAGAAUACCGAUUGCGAAGGCAGAUCACUAACAGUAUAUUGACGCUGAUGAACGAAAGCGUGGGUAGCGAACGGGAUUAGAAACCCUUGUAGUCC
rnacentral:rRNA from 1 species